rnacentral:lncRNA from 1 species
UAACCGUGUAAGAAGAACAUAAUAGCGUGUAUCGUGUAAGGAAGAACUUAGCGUGAAUCUUGAAACAGAAUAUGAGAUUGAAAAAAAAAAUUGACGGAUACCAUAAACGAAAAACAGUGCAGAUUUAUCUUGAGACAGAAAAGGGGAAAAAAAUAACAAAAAAAGCCUUCCUCCAGCAUUAUAAUGGAAAAUAAAAGGAUAUUACCUGCCCGAAAAUAAUUCUUGUCUGAAAAACGGACCGAAAAAUUUCUCUUACAAC